rnacentral:rRNA from 1 species
CCAACGAAGGCAGCAGGCGCGUAAUUACCCAAUGUGGACUCCACGAGGUAGUGACGAGAAAUAUCAAUGCGGGGCGCUUCGCGUCUUGCUAUUGGAAUGAGAGCAAUGUAAAACCCUCAUCGAGGAUCAACUGGAGGGCAAGUCUGGUGCCAGCAGCCGCGGUAAUUCCAGCUCCAGAAGCGUAUGCUAAAGUUGUUGCAGUUAAAAAGCUCGUAGUUGAAUUUCUGGUGUGGGAGCCCAGGCCUCGGUGCGAAUGCGCCUUGUCUUGCCUUGCGGCUCCUUUGCCAUCCUCGUUUUUCUUUUGAAGAACGUCAUUCACUGUAAUCAAAGCAGAGUGUUCCAAGCAGGCCGUAGGGCCGGUAUGUUUAUUAUGGGAUGAUCAGAUAGGACUCGGGUGCUAUUUUGUUGGUUUGCACAUCUGAGUAAUGAUUAAUAGGAACAGUCGGGGGUAUCCGUAUUUAGGAGCUAGAGGUGAAAUUCUUGGAUUUCCGAAAGACGAACUACAGCGAAGGCAUUUACCAAGCAUGUUUUCAUUAAUCAAGAACGAAAGUCUGGGGAUCGAAGAUGAUUAGAUACCAUCG